GAGAGAGGCCCGACGGCACUAAAGACUGCUAAUCUUUUACUUCCUUGGUUAAACCCCUUGGCUCCCUUG
rnacentral:tRNA from 1 species